GACGAACGCUGGCGGCGUGCCUAAUACAUGCAAGUCGAGCGGAAAUUUUAUUGGUGCUUGCACCUUUAAAAUUUUAGCGGCGGACGGGUGAGUAACACGUGGGUAACCUACCUUAUAGAUCGGGAUAACUCCGGGAAACCGGGGCUAAUACCGAAUAAUACUUUUUAACACAUGUUUGAAAGUUGAAAGACGGUCUUGCUGUCACUAUAAGAUGGACCCGCGGCGCAUUAGCUAGUUGGUGAGGUAACGGCUCACCAAGGCAACGAUGCGUAGCCGACCUGAGAGGGUGAUCGGCCACACUGGGACUGAGACACGGCCCAGACUCCUACGGGAGGCAGCAGUAGGGAAUCUUCCACAAUGGACGAAAGUCUGAUGGAGCAACGCCGCGUGAGUGAAGAAGGAUUUCGGUUCGUAAAACUCUGUUGCAAGGGAAGAACAAGUAGCGUAGUAACUGGCGCUACCUUGACGGUACCUUGUUAGAAAGCCACGGCUAACUACGUGCCAGCCGCCGCCGUAAGAC
rnacentral:rRNA from 1 species